rnacentral:snRNA from 1 species
GUGCUCACUUGGGCCGCACGUGUACUGCAAUAGGAACAACAAAGAGAAGAUAGCAUGUCCUCUGCGCGUAGAUUAACAUGUACAUUUAUGACGUUAUCCAUAUUUUU